UACGGAGGAUGCGAGCGUUAUCCGGAUUUAUUGGGUUUAAAGGGUGCGUAGGCGGAUUGAUAAGUUAGAGGUGAAAUGUCCGAGCUCAACUCGGGAACUGCCUCUAAUACUGUUGAUCUAGAGAGUAGAUGCGGUAGGCGGAAUGUAUGGUGUAGCGGUGAAAUGCUUAGAGAUCAUACAGAACACCGAUUGCGAAGGCAGCUUACCAAUCUAUAUCUGACGUUGAGGCACGAAAGCGUGGGGAGCAAACAGG
rnacentral:rRNA from 1 species